rnacentral:lncRNA from 1 species
CAACUUUUGCUAAGUGUAGUUCAAAUUCUGAUUUUCCUCCAGGUGGCAGGGGAGAUGAUAUGGAAUGAAGCAUUUUCAAAUAUAAGCCAAGAUUUCUCACAUCCACAUCAAUCUUAAUGUAGUUUUACCUAAUUGUUCUUGGAAGUCCAUGUAUACCAUGAAGCAUUUUCUUCAAACCAAAACAAUCUAGACUUCCUUCAGUUACAAGAGGAGUGACCUGCAGAGCAUCCAAGCAUGUACAUGAGCAGGAAAACACUAUAGAAUGCCUUGUCCAAGCUACUGUUGUAGUGGAGAAAAAGGAGAAGACAGUGCGAAGAAUAAGCAAGGUACUUUCCAUAGAAGACACAGGUUAAAUGAACAAAGAAGGAGUUUGUAUGAUAAACACAGGAUAAGCAUAUACUGCCCCAGAGAGGGAGAGGAUCGAAGAGCUCAGCUUUAG